AGAGUUUGAUCCUGGCUCAGGAUGAACGCUGGCGGCGUGCCUAAUACAUGCAAGUCGAACGAAUCUCUUUUAGAGAUGAGUGGCGAACGGGUGAGUAAUACAUAGGUAACCUGCCCCUGUGCGGGGGAUAACAGGAGGAAACUCCUGCUAAUACCGCAUAGCCAUGAGCACCGCAUGGAGCUCAUGCCAAAUAUCCUUUCGGGGAUAGCGCAGGGAUGGACCUAUGGCGCAUUAGCUGGUUGGCGGGGCAACGGCCCACCAAGGCAACGAUGCGUAGCCGGCCUGAGAGGGCGGACGGCCACAUUGGGACUGAGACACGGCCCAGACUCCUACGGGAGGCAGCAGUAGGGAAUAUUGGGCAAUGGGGGAAACCCUGACCGAGCAACGCCGCGUGAGCGAAGAAGGCCUUCGGGUCGUAAAGCUCUGUUGUAAAGGAAGAACGGCGCAUACAGGAAAUGGUAUGCGAGUGACGGUACUUUACCAGAAAGCCACGGCUAACUACGUGCCAGCAGCCGCGGUAAUACGUAGGUGGCGAGCGUUAUCCGGAAUCAUUGGGCGUAAAGAGGGAGCAGGCGGCCGCAAGGGUCUGUGGUGAAAGACCGAAGCUAAACUUCGGUAAGCCAUGGAAACCGGGCGGCUAGAGUGCGGAAGAGGAUCGUGGAAUUCCAUGUGUAGCGGUGAAAUGCGUAGAUAUAUGGAGGAACACCAGUGGCGAAGGCGACGGUCUGGGCCGCAACUGACGCUCAUUCCCGAAAGCGUGGGGAGCAAAUAGGAUUAGAUACCCUAGUAGUCCACGCCGUAAACGAUGGUCACUAAGUGUCGGGGGUCAAACCCCGGUGCUGCAGUCAACGCAAUAAGUGACCCGCCU
rnacentral:rRNA from 1 species